rnacentral:rRNA from 1 species
CGCUCAGGACGAACGCUGGCGGCGUGCCUAAUACAUGCAAGUCGAGCGGAACCAUUGGAGCUUGCUCCAUUGGUUUAGCGGCGGACGGGUGAGUAACACGUGGGCAACCUGCCCUGCAGAUCGGGAUAACUCCGGGAAACCGGUGCUAAUACCGAAUAGUUUGCGGCCUCUCAUGAGGCGGCACGGAAAGACGGUUUCGGCUGUCACUGCAGGAUGGGCCCGCGGCGCAUUAGCUAGUUGGUGAGGUAACGGCUCACCAAGGCCACGAUGCGUAGCCGACCUGAGAGGGUGAUCGGCCACACUGGGACUGAGACACGGCCCAGACUCCUACGGGAGGCAGCAGUAGGGAAUCUUCCGCAAUGGACGAAAGUCUGACGGAGCAACGCCGCGUGAGUGAAGAAGGUUUUCGGAUCGUAAAACUCUGUUGUGAGGGAAGAACAAGUACCAACUAACUACUGGUACCUUGACGGACCUCA